rnacentral:sRNA from 1 species
CCGGGCACGGAUCGGAGGUGGAUGAGAUCCACCGCUGGUUCGGCGAUGAGGCGAAGCCUCAUCGUGCGCGCCGACAGGCGCGGCCCGCAGGGCCAAGGCGCGUAGCGCCGCAGCCAUCCACCUCCCUCCACCA